CCUACGGGAGUCAGCAGUGGGGAAUAUUGCACAAUGGGGGAAACCCUGAUGCAGCGACGCCGCGUGAGUGAAGAAGUAUCUCGGUACGUAAAGCCCUAUCAGCAGGAAAGAAAAUGACGGUACCUGACUAAGAAGCCCCGGCUAACUACGUGCCAGCAGCCGCGGUAAUACGUAGGGGGCAAGCGUUAUCCGGAUUUCCUGGGUGUAAAGGGAGCGUAGACGGGGCUGCAAGUCCGGAGUGAAAGCCCAUGGCUUAAACAUGGUACUGCUCUGGAAACUGGAGGGCGAGAGUGCGGGAGGGGCAGGCGGAAUUCCUGGUGUAGCGGUGAAAUGCGUAGAUAGUAGGAGGAACACCGGCGGCGAAGGUGGCCUGCUGGACCGUAACUGACGUUGAGGCUCGAAAGCGUGGGGAGCAAACAGGAUUAGAUACCCUUGUAGUC
rnacentral:rRNA from 1 species